GUAGGGAAUAUUGCGCAAUGGACGAAAGUCUGACGCAGCGACGCCACGUGAGUGAUGAAGGCCUUAGGGUCGUAAAGCUCUGUUGAAUGGGAAGAAAAAAAUGACGGUACCAUUCGAGGAAGGACCGGCUAACUUCGUGCCAGCAGCCGCGGUAAUACGAGGGGUCCUCGCGUUGUUCGGAAUCAUUGGGCGUAAAGGGUGUGUAGGUGGCCAUGUAAGUCAGGUGUGAAAGCCCCGGGCUCAACCCGGGAAGUGCACUUGAUACUGCGUGGCUUGAGUACCGAAGAGGGUAGUGGAAUUCCAGGUGUAGUGGUGAAAUACGUAGAUAUCUGGAGGAACACCGGUGGCGAAGGCGGCUACCUGGUCGAGUACUGACACUGAGACACGAAAGCAUGGGGAUCAAACAGGAUUAGAAACCCCGGUAGUCC
rnacentral:rRNA from 1 species